rnacentral:rRNA from 1 species
GACGAACGCUGGCGGCAUGCUUAACACAUGCAAGUCGAACGAAGUGGCGAACGGGUGAGUAACGCGUAAUCAACCUGCCCUUCAGAGGGGGACAACAGUUGGAAACGACUGCUAAUCCCGCAUACUGAAGGAGGGGAGUGCGUGUGAUUAGCUAGUUGGAGUGGUAACGGCCCACAAAGGCGAUGAUCCGAAGCCGGGCUGAGAGUAUGAACGGCCACAUUGGGACUGGGACACGGCCCAGACUCCUACGGGAGGCAGCAGUGGGGAAUCUUCCGCAAUGGACGAAAGUCUGACGGAGCAACGCCGCGUGAGUGAUGACGGCCUUCGGGUUGUAAAGCUCUGUUAAUCGGGACGCGGUACCGGAAUAGAAAGCCACGGCUAACUACGUGCCAGCAGCCGCGGUAAUUC